rnacentral:rRNA from 1 species
UACGUAGGGUGCAAGCGUUGUUCGGAAUUACUGGCGUAAAGGCUCGUAGGCGGCCAACUAAGUCAUACGUGAAAUCCCCAGGCUCAACCUGGGAACUGCGCUGAUACUGGUUGGCUUGAUCCGGGAGAGGGAUGCAGAAUUCCAGGUGUAGCGGUGAAAUGCGUAGAUAUCUGGAGGAAUACCGGUGGCGAAGGCGGCAUCCUGGACCUUACUGACACUGAUCCGCGAAAGCUAGG